UCUUCUUGAGUAGUGAGAAGGGUUGAAAAGGACUAACUUCCUCCCUAAACAGAUUCAGUAUGAUUUAAAAUCGCAUUCCAGUGCCAUUUAAAAUCACAUUCCCCAGACCACCCAAAGUGAGUCAUCCACCACUUAAUAUCUGUGCAUCACCAGUGCUAUCUGUUGCAUUCCACGUUUUAGGAAACAAUGAACUACAUCAGCGGCUGCCUAUUAAAAGCAGCCGGAGGUGGGUUCGCGGGCGCGGGUGCACGCACACGGUUCUCAAACAUUCGUGUGCCUCAGAUUCACUCGUAGGGCUUGUUGGACUACCCAGCUUCUGACUCACGAGGUUUGGCAGACAGCCCCACAACUUGCAUUUCUCAAACAAGAUCCCAGGUCACACUAACACUGCAGCCCAAGACCACACUUGGCGGACCAGUGCGCUCAAUGAUGGAAGAGCCAAUGUAUGACUAACUUCUCACGAGUUUUGCCUCCCCAGUGUUCUUGAAGCCAAUGCAUGCCGGUGUGGAUAGUAAGCAGAAGACUCGAGCAGGGUAGAAAUCCAGAUGAAUUAAGAUGCACGUAUUUUUUAACCUUUCCUCCAGCGAGGAGUACAUCAGUUCCUACAAGUUGAACUGCAACAUAAAGUAAAUAGAUCUGCUCCGAGAAAAGGGGCACUUCACUCAAGGCAGGCUAUCCGGGAUCAAAGAGACUCCAUUCCAGAACUUGUGUCCGAACUCUCAGAAGAGAGAAGCCCUCUUGCUGUUGAUGCCAGAGGGAUGCGACAUUGGAGCUCCUGGUAGCAGGCACGUGGGAGAAUAUGCCUGACCACAGGGCUGGUGCUGAGGAAGUGAAGCCAAGAG